UACGUAGGUGGCAAGCGUUGUCCGGAUUUAUUGGGUUUAAAGGGUGCGUAGGCGGUCUUAUAAGUCAGUGCUGAAAUAUCCCGGCUUAACCGGGAGGGUGGCAUUGAUACUGUAGGACUUGAGUAAAGUUAAGGUUGGCGGAAUUGACGGUGUAGCGGUGAAAUGCUUAGAUAUCGUCAAGAACACCUAUAGCGAAGGCAGCUAACUAAACUUUAACUGACGCUGAGGCACGAAAGUGUGGGGAUCAAACAGG
rnacentral:rRNA from 1 species